AAGUCGUAACAAGGUUUCCGUAGGUGAACCUGCGGAAGGAUCAUUAUCACGUUAUCCACGUAUCAACCAUUGUGAACUAGUAUUAGACCUUUGGAUUAAGAAAGGUAGUGUUAUGUUAAACCGUUAUCAAACAAUAAUGAUUGGAAAUUGUUGAGGUUUAAUGCGACCAAACAAAUUCGUUUGUUUACUUUCUGAUUCAAAGUGUAUUUUUUUUUCAAUCAAUUAUUUCAUUAACCAUUUAAACCCAAAAUUUUUCUAAAUUUUGAACUGAUUUAAUUUCUUACUCUCUAAACAAGAGAAGAAAUAAAUGAUUACGAAACAUAAGAACAACUCUUAGCAACGGAUAUCUUGGUUCUC
rnacentral:misc_RNA from 1 species